AGUUGUUUGUGGGAGAGGGAGAUGAAGCCGGGGGCAAACAGCCUGGCCCUGAGGGACUCCCCUCAGUCAUGGACACCGCUAUUUCUGGGGAUUUUGGGGGCAGAGCUUAGGGGAAGGAACAGAGGUGCCUGCGCCCAGGGGCAAGUCUUAGCGUGCAGAUGAGCCCUGGCAAAGAGGGUGGGCAGUGAAGAGGAGGUGCAGACACUGUUCCUUGGCACAGAGGAAGGCACGGAGCUCCAGACCCUCCACCUCUCUAACACCUUUUCUUCCGGCCACACUGUGCCAGGGCUUGGCUCUCUUGAGCACCUGCUGAGACCGCGGCUCCCGUCUAGCGACAGCACCGUCCUCGUCCGCGUCCUCGUCCGCGUCCUUUGGUGCCUACCGGAGUAACGCCUGAGGAAUGUUGGGCGCGCGCUAGACGGAGUGCGAGGACAAAGUGGGCGCGAGCUCGGGCUAGGGACAGCCAGGCUUUCAUUCUGGGAAGAUCUCCCUUGGCCUGGGUCUGCCCCAGUUGAGAGGGUUUCCUAGAGAGCAGCUGGGCUCUGGCAUUGGGAGGAAGAGACCGGCCAAAACAUGGCUUAAAGUGGGUAAUGAGCCCCAUUCAAGCCAGGCAGAAGAGGAAUAUGGGGCCAGGGGACUGUGAGGGUCAACGCUGUGCAUGGGACUGAGGCCAAACUUCCCUCCCACCAAACAAAUGCAGGUACACAUACCCACACACCCACACCCACACACACACACACAGACACAGGGAUAGACUAACAGCACUAGGAAAAGCAACCUGACUUUGUCCCAGAGGGAGGUGCAAAGGCACGCCAUGCCUUGCCAUGGAGAAGCUAGCGCUGACCUUUGAAACUAGAUUUUGAGGUUGUUUACAAGGGAAGAAUAUGAAGCAGGGGGGCAAACAGGCCAGGCACCGAAGGACUCAAUUCAGUUAAGGGACAGGCCGAUCUCUGAGCAUUUGGGGUAGAGGGGUUAGGGGAUGGAGUAGAGACACCUGUGACUGGGGGACUCUGGCGGGCAGGCAGAUGUACCACAGCACGGAGGGUUGCCAGACAAGCAGAGCAACAGACACUAUGGCCUGGCAUAGAGGAGGGCACUGUGCCUGCUCCCAGUUCUACAGAUCCUUCACCUCCCUAAAAUCUAUCCUGGACUGGCCCUGGCCUGGUGGGGCAAAUGCAGGUACCAAAGGAGACAGCAAAGUCCUUCCCCAGACUGCUGGGUCCACAUCUGCAGCAUUCUGGAGAACUCCCUGCUUCCCCCUUUCACUCUGGCUUAGAGGCAAGCAAUUCCCUAUUUGGGUUGGAAGGCAACUAGAUGUGAUCCUGAGAUUACAAAGCUCCUGCUUGUUAGAAUGGCCGGCACCUGACCCAUGAAAGGUAAAGACUGUGUUAUAUCCACUUGCCACCAUUGCCUCUCAGGAUUUCAUCUCAAAUAUAUCCCUUCAUUCUGAAGCUGGAAUUCAAGAGUCUCCCCCAAAGAUCUUUGUUGGUUUAUUUUUCAGAUUAGUGGUAUGGUAACAUGACAAACACAUUCUUGACACUGGUAAAAAUUACAUUUGACCUGUGUGUCAACACAACUUA